rnacentral:rRNA from 1 species
UACGUAGGGGGCAAGCGUUAUCCGGAUUCACUGGGUGUAAAGGGAGCGUAGACGGCGACGCAAGUCUGGAGUGAAAGCCCGGGGCCCAACCCCGGGACUGCUCUGGAAACUGCGGCGCUGGAGUACGGGAGGGGCAGGCGGAAUUCCUGGUGUAGCGGUGAAAUGCGUAGAUAUUAGGAGGAACACCAGUGGCGAAGGCGGCCUGCUGGGCUUUUACUGACGCUGAGGCUCGAAAGUGUGGGGAGCAAACAGG